rnacentral:rRNA from 1 species
GACGAACGCUGGCGGCGUGCUUAACACAUGCAAGUCGAACGGUGAAGCCGGAGCUUGCUCUGGUGAAUUAGUGGCGAACGGGUGAGUAACACGUGAGUAACCUGCCCUUGACUCUGGGAUAACUGCGGGAAACUGUAGCUAAUACCGGAUACGACCCUCGGAGGCAUCUCCUGGGGGUGGAAAGAAUUUCGGUCAAGGAUGGACUCGCGGCCUAUCAGAUAGUUGGUGAGGUAAAGGCUCACCAAGGCGACGACGGGUAGCCGGCCUGAGGGGGUGGCCGGCGACACUUGGACUGAGACAGGGCCAAGACGCCGACGGGAGGCAGCAGUGGGGAAUAGUGCACAAUGGGCGCAAGCGUGAUGCAGCAACGCCGCGUGAGGGAUGACGGCCUUCGGGUUGUAAACCUCUUUUAGCAGGGAAGAAGCGAAAGUGACGGUACCUGCAGAAAAAGCACCGGCUAACUACGUGCAAGCAGCCGCAGUAA